AGGGCUUUAGUUUAAUUAAAAUGUUUGAGUUGCAUUCAGAAGAUGCAGAUUAAUAUCUGCAAGUCCUA
rnacentral:tRNA from 1 species